CCUACGGGAGGCAGCAGUGAGGAAUAUUGGUCAAUGGACGGAAGUCUGAACCAGCCAAGUCGCGUGCAGGACGACUGCCCUAUGAGUUGUAAACCGCUUUUGUACGAGGGUAAUAAAUGCUACGUGUAUCUUCUUGCAUGUACCUUAUGAAUAAGCAUCGGCUAACUCCGUGCCAGCAGCCGCGGUAAUACGGAGGAUGCGAGCGUUAUCCGGAUUUAUUGGGUUUAAAGGGUGCGUAGGCGGUUUUAUAAGUUAGUGGUGAAAAUUCGGGGCUUAACCUCGGACUUGCCUCUAAUACUGUAAGACUAGAGAAUAGAUGCGGUAGGCGGAAUAAAUGAAGUAGCGGUGAAAUGCUUAGAGAUCAUACAGAACUCCGAUUGCGAAGGCAGCUUACCAGACUGUGACUGACGUUGAAGCACGAGAGCGUGGGGAGCGAACAGGAUUAGAUACCCGAGUAGUC
rnacentral:rRNA from 1 species